ensembl:snRNA U6 U6 spliceosomal RNA
GUGCUCACUUCAGCAGCACAUAUACUAAAAUUAGAACAAUACAGAGAAGAUUAGCAUGGCCCCUGUGCAAGGAUGACACACAAAUUCAUGAAGCGUUCCAUAUCUUU